AGCGCACGCAGGCGGUCUGUCAAGUCGGAUGUGAAAUCCCCGGGCUCAACCUGGGAACUGCAUUCGAAACUGGCAGGCUAGAGUCUUGUAGAGGGGGGUAGAAUUCCAGGUGUAGCGGUGAAAUGCGUAGAGAUCUGGAGGAAUACCGGUGGCGAAGGCGGCCCCCUGGACAAAGACUGACGCUCAGGUGCGAAAGCGUGGGGAGCAAACAGGAUUAGAUACCCUGGUAGUCCACGCCGUAAACGAUGUCGACUUGGAGGUUGUGCCCUUGAGGCGUGGCUUCCGGAGCUAACGCGUUAAGUCGACCGCCUGGGGAGUACGGCCGCAAGGUUAAAACUCAAAUGAAUUGACGGGGGCCCGCACAAGCGGUGGAGCAUGUGGUUUAAUUCGAUGCAACGCGAAGAACCUUACCUACUCUUGACAUCCAGAGAA
rnacentral:rRNA from 1 species